AUGCCAAGACUGGAAGCAUCGAAGAUGGUGAGCCCUUUCCAAGUGCUACGUUAUGAAGCUGCCAAAUUAAGAACACUGAGCAAAUGUAAUUCUCCCGUAGUUGGGAAAGAUUAUAUUUAUUUUCUUCCUACUUUUUAAUGUCUAGAUCCAGAAUAUAAGAAGUUUUUAGAAACCUACUGUGUGGAGGAAGAGAAGACCAGUGCCAACCCUGAGACUCUGCUGGGGGAGAUGGAGGCGAAGACAAGAGAGCUCAUUGCUAGAAGAACCACACCUCUUUUGGAAUAUAUUAAAAAUAGAAAAUUAGAAAAGCAGAGAAUUCGAGAAGAGAAGCGAGAAGAACGGAGGAGGAGAGAGUUAGAAAAGAAACGUUUGCGGGAAGAGGAAAAAAGAAGAAGAAGAGAAGAAGAAAGAUGCAAAAAAAAA
rnacentral:lncRNA from 10 species